rnacentral:rRNA from 1 species
GUGCCAGCCGCCGCGGUAAUACGUAGGGUGCGAGCGUUAAUCGGAAUUACUGGGCGUAAAGUGUGCGCAGGCGGCCGAGCAAGUCGAGUGUGAAAGCCCCGAGCUUAACUUGGGAACUGCGCUCGAAACUACUUGGCUAGAGUGUGGCAGAGGGAGGUGGAAUUCCACGUGUAGCGGUGAAAUGCGUAGAGAUGUGGAGGAACACCGAUGGCGAAGGCAGCCUCCUGGGCCAACACUGACGCUCAUGCACGAAAGCGUGGGGAGCAAACAGGAUUAGAAACCCCCGUAGUCC